rnacentral:rRNA from 1 species
CUACGGGGCGCAGCAGGCGCGAAACCUCUGCAAUGCGGGAAACCGUGACAGGGGGAUCCCAAGUGCUCAUGCAUUGCAUGGGCUGUUCUUUGGUCUAAGUAACCAGAGGAGUAUGGGCUGGGCAAGACCGGUGCCAGCCGCCGCGGUAAUACCGGCAGCUCAAGUGGUAGCCGCGAUUAUUGGGCCUAAAACGUUCGUAGCCGGAUAAGUAAGUCUUUGGUUAAAUCCUGCGACUUAACCGUGGGAAAUCUAGAGAUACUGCUUGUCUUGAGACCGGGAGAGGUUGGAGGUACUCCCAGGGUAGGGGUGAAAUCCUGUAAUCCUGGGGGGACCACCUGUGGCGAAGGCGUCCAACUGGAACGGGUCUGACGGUGAGGGACGAAACCUAGGGGAGCGAGCCGGAUUAGAUACCCGGGUAGUCCUAGGCGUAAAUGAUGCGAGUUAAGUGUGGGGGCAUCCACGAGAUGGCCCUGUGCUGUAGGGUAGCCGUUAAACUCGCUGCCUGGGGAGUACGGUCGCAAGGCUGAAACU